GAUGAACGCUGGCGGCGUGCUUAACACAUGCAAGUCGAACGAAGCACUUUAACCUGAUUCUUCGGAUGAAGGUUUUUGUGACUGAGUGGCGGACGGGUGAGUAACGCGUGGGUAACCUGCCUCAUACAGGGGGAUAACAGUUAGAAAUGACUGCUAAUACCGCAUAAGACCACAGAGCCGCAUGGCUCGGUGGGAAAAACUCCGGUGGUAUGAGAUGGACCCGCGUCUGAUUAGGUAGUUGGUGGGGUAACGGCCUACCAAGCCAACGAUCAGUAGCCGACCUGGGAGGGUGACCGGCCACAUUGGGACUGGGACCCGGCCCCAACUCCCACGGGAGGCAGCAGUGGGGAAUAUUGCACCAUGGGGGAAACCCUGAUGCAGCGACGCCGCGUGAGCGAAGAAGUAUUUCGGUAUGUAAAGCUCUAUCAGCUGGGAAGAAAAUGACGGUACCUGACUAAGAAGCACCGGCUAAAUACGUG
rnacentral:rRNA from 1 species